GUGGGUAUAGCUCAGUGGUUAGAGUGUCGGGUUGUGGCCUCGAAGGCCGAGGGUUCAAGUCCCUCUACCCACCCCA
rnacentral:tRNA from 1 species